AGCAAAUAUGUUGAUUAUGUGGUGAUCGCAAAGAGGACAUAAGGUCCUUACCAGAAAGCCUGAUGAAUGGAGAUGGGACGGCACCAUCCAAAGCCAAAAACGCUUCCGUAUGAACUGAACGCUGUUAUCAAAGAGGAACCGUCAACAGAGACCUCAACAACAACCACUCUCAAGGUCACCGAAUAUCAAACCAGAGUCAGCUGUCCAGCAGAACGGCAUCUAUCCACAGCGGGUGUGAGGAAGGGUCGCUGGGCCUGAUAACGCUGUGUACCAACAACAUGUGGCGACCAGCUAACCGAUCAUCUCUGACAUCGUCCCCACCAUCUCCACGACAGGCCUAAAGGACCAGCGACUGAUCAAACACCACAUCCCCCCCAGCCUGGACCGUUUCCCACCGCUCUCCACUCAACCGCACUCAUCUGCAGAAAAGCAGCUACAUCAGAAUGUUGUUCAUCACAACGUGUCACGGUUUGGGUUCAUGUCUGGUUUUAUUUCGGAGUUUCCUUCCUCUGUUCUCCCUGGUCACGUCACUUCCUGCCUUGUCCUGUCGUCCCCUGUGAUUGUCUGUCAUGUCAUGAUUGUUCCCAGCUGUGUCCAAUCACCUGCUCCUCCCCAGUGUAUUUAAGCCGUGUGUGUCUGUUGUCACUUGUCGCGUCAUUGUUCAUUGUAUGGAAGUCCUAGUCCACGUCCCUCUCCACGUCCCUGUCCACGUCCACGGUCUCGUUCCUGUCUUCGUUUUUUGCCCGUUGGCCUUUUGCUUUUGAAAACCUUUGUGACUAUUAAAGUCUUUUGUUUCUUGAGAAGUCUGCGUUUGAGUCCUGCCUCCCCCACGCAUCCCUGACACAACGUCCCUCAUGGAACUCUGGAGUUCUCACUGCAACUGGUGAUUUUGCUGAAAAACGGAGCCCAGGCCUUUGUGAUUGGCAGCCACACCAUCUCCCCUCUAGUGUUGAAAUCACAAACCCCCCAUGUGUGCUCGGCCGCCUCCUGUUCACGCUUUACUCGACUGCUCCUCUAAACACGAAGAGAUGUUUGCAGAUGAUGCAGCCAAAUCGCCGGCCAACAUUACAAACAAAAAAGUGACUUUGUAUUGAAAGUG
ensembl:lncRNA